rnacentral:rRNA from 1 species
UACGAAGGGGGCUAGCGUUGUUCGGAAUUACUGGGCGUAAAGCGUGCGCAGGCGGCUUCUCAAGUCAGGGGUGAAAGCCCAGAGCUCAACUCUGGAACUGCCUUUGAGACUGAGAGGCUUGAGUACGGGAGAGGUGAGUGGAAUUCCCAGUGUAGAGGUGAAAUUCGUAGAUAUUCGCAAGAACACCAGUGGCGAAGGCGGCUCACUGGCCCGGUACUGACGCUGAGGUGCGAAAGCGUGGGGAGCAAACAGG